AACACCCACAAACAACGUCACGACGCAACGUGGUUAAACAGUACGUUUAUUAAAGUAACUGGGUGAACGACACCGGAGCGGACUGCAAAUCGCAACGCUACUUUCUCGAGUGCAGAUACUCUUCGAGACGGCUAAACAACGUGUCCAACUCGCUGAGACCUUUCCGCGUGCCGUUAUCCGAUUUCCUUUCCGCCUCCUGAGACAGCCGACUAAUCACGGACUUAUCUCCGCAACCUAACAGAGGCUGGGAGCCCGACAAAAGUAAAACAGCGUGCUAUGAACACGUUGUUACCUCUGCGCGGACAGCGCCGCCACAGAGACACUUACGCAUUGCCGCAUGUCUUUGUAGAUGGAUUCUAGCGUCGAGCGCAUACUAUGCAAUUCCGUCUUAAGUCCGGGAUAGACGUGGUCGCCUGCGGGGAACACGAUCUCCAGAUAUCGCCUCAACAACCAGUCCAUGACGCUGCAUCCCCAACAGCCUUUGACCACCGUACCGUCGAGCCACACGGAGUAGUCGUCCUCACGUUGCUACAAGAGGAAAACUACGUCACCCGACACGCGGAAAAUAAAGACCGUCGCAAUAAACCGUACCUACGUGACCUACCAACGUAGGUUUUACUCGAUGAAAGGUGACGCGGAGAUCUUGCAAUCUGGUCGCGUAAUCCUCUGGACGACACUGCGGCUUUGUAUUCUUUAUCGUCGUCGUCGUCGUUGCCGGCUUCGCCUCCUCGGAAGCGCCUAGAAAAAAGACGAUCAGGACCAGAGAGGAAGAGACCAUCACCGACAGCAUCGCCGCAGCAUGCCGCCCCAAUCCGCCGCCCAACUGCGCGUCCCAGGAUACCACUCGUAGACUGUCAGCCUCGCGAGGAGACACCGCGGACCGGGGAAACGGAUAAGUUUACGAACAGAAAUCUCAAGAGAAAGACGCUGACCCGAUAAGUACCGUCACGGAGACACGGUGGUUUUUAUUGAAUUUCCAGUGUAUCGAGCCACCGUGAUGCAGGUACGGUGGUUUUAUGUAAAGUGCCGCUAUCUAUAGGCGAUGUGUUCCCUGACGGUGUGUGUUUUUUUGGGGAUAGACAACGUGGUUCUUGUACGUGGUUUUUACCCUGCUCAAUAAAGUCACGUUUUCCUUACACGGUGUUGUGUC
rnacentral:sRNA from 1 species